AUUGAACGCUGGCGGCAUGCUUUACACAUGCAAGUCGAACGGCAGCACGGGUGCUUGCACCUGGUGGCGAGUGGCGGACGGGUGAGUAAUGCAUCGGAACGUGUCCUGAAGUGGGGGAUAACGCAUCGAAAGAUGUGCUAAUACCGCAUAUUCUCUGAGGAGGAAAGUAGGGGAUCGAAAGACCUUAUGCUUUUGGAGCGGCCGAUGUCUGAUUAGCUAGUUGGUAGGGUAAUGGCUUACCAAGGCGACGAUCAGUAGUUGGUCUGAGAGGACGACCAGCCACACUGGGACUGAGACACGGCCCAGACUCCUACGGGAGGCAGCAGUGGGGAAUUUUGGACAAUGGGCGCAAGCCUGAUCCAGCAAUGCCGCGUGAGUGAAGAAGGGCCUUCGGUGUUAAAGACUCUUUCUAGUUGAGAAGAAAAAGUACGUAGACGUAAUAAU
rnacentral:rRNA from 1 species